GUGCUGCCAACUUGGUCCUGUUCGUCUUCGUCCCACUGGCUCGAGGUUUUCUUGCCGUUUCCUCGCCAACAAAUUCUGUCUGGUGCCUUUCUCUUUCCCCAUUUCGGAAACUCUCUAGAAUCCGUGCGCGUUCGUUCUUGCCAAAAAAAGUUCUUGGCCCGAGAUCGGUGGGUGCGUGUGCCGGGGUUCCGCUCGACCUCUCCCCAGCAAAUGAGAUCUGUUCGAGGACAAAACUGAGCUGCUACUGCAAUUUUGCCACCCCACGGUCGGUCGGUCGACGACGCAGCGGUGGUGUAGAGCUGGCGGGAGACCGGCGCGGCGAGCGUGUUUGGGCGAGAGCGACGGCGUGCACGCGUUGCACUCGGCUUGUGCGUGCGUCCGUCGGCGACCCGAGGCUGCUAGGAUCGAGGGAAGGAGGACGGCACCCGCUCGGACGACGAGCCGUGAUCCGGCCGGGGUCGCGCGCGUGCUGCCAUUGCCGUGGUGGCCUCGCCGUUGACGGGAGCUCGCGUCGUGUGGGCUCGUCCGGCUCCUUCGUUCGUCUGGAGGCAGGUCGAUCAGGGAGAACAGCUUCAUGGAGCGCCUGCGGAGAUGUGUUGUAUGCGCGGCGCCAACGCGGCCAAGCUAGGUUCCUCGUGUCACAGGAUUAUACAGUAUAGACUGAGGAAUGCAACCAUAGUAUCAAAACUUGGCAGCUACACUCCUACAGGUUCCAUACACAAGGCUGCAAGCUUUGGAAAUUAAUGUGCGGGAACCAUGACUCAUCGACACUUGAGCAGCUCGUGCGAGGCCUGUGGACGCGUGGUGAAGCUCCAACAAACGUCAGUUGUUCCAUGAAGCACCUAAGGGUGCCCUUUGCGGUCUUAGAAUUUUUUUUGUUGUUGGCAACCCCCAAAGCUUGUAUUCCCUCAUUUUGUUGUUCUUUUGAGUAAUUUGGCCCGUGUGUGGGUCUGGAAGAACUAGCUCUUGUAAUACCUCCAAAAAGGGCUUUAGUUGUCUAAAGUCGGGCAUACGCCUCCUCCAAAAUAAAUGUAAUUAUAAUUUUAAAACAUCUAGAACUAGUUCAGCCAAAUGUGUGCAUUCCUUUUCGAAAAAAGACCUAAGAUAACAUGUGCAUGAAGUUGUGUUUUAGUCCAUCCCUUCCUUUACCCAAGGUGUAUAUGUUUUCUAAUAAAAUUCCACAAUUUAAAGUGCAUUUUUUCUAAUUUCUCGUAGUUCCUUUUUUAGCUCUCCACAAAAAGAAAAGUAUGUCUCUUUUGAUUGCUCCUAUCUCGGCUUCUAGAAAAAAGGAAAGUAUCUCUCUCUCGAUUGCAUGUAUCUCUUCCUUUCCUGGCAUAAUUGAUAAUUGAUUUACUUGACGCUAACCAACAAAUUAGACAAGUGUAACCUUCUACGCCUUCCAAGUUAGGUGGACUCCUUCCAAGUUAGGUGGACUCCUUGAUUCCCAUAAGCCGUCACUCAUAGUGCUCAUGGCCGAGCCGGUAUACCUAGUUCGGGUCUUCUUCGGGCCGAAUCUUGCCCACAUUGGGUGUUACCUAAGGCGGGCCUAAUUUCUCUAGCCCUUCCCCUUCUCGGUUUCACCGUGAGUUGGCCCAUUGGUUUCUUCUGUGAGUCGGCCUUUUGCCGGGUCUGGCCUUUGCUUCCAGUUGCUUUUGUCACGAGCCAGAAGUAAUGUGACUCACUGAGCCUCAAAGCUCAGGGCCGGGUCACACUCAUGGUGGGUCUCAACCGUAGCGAACAUCCCCAACACAAGGUGUAUUUACUUUCUAAUAAAAUUCCACAAUUUAAGGUGCAUUUUUCCUAAUUUCUCGUAGUUCCUUUUUUAGAUCUCCACAAAAAGAAAAGUAUGUCUCUUCCGAUUGCCUCUAUCUCUACUUCUAGAAAAAAAGGAAAGUAUCUCUAUGUCUCUCAAUUGCGUGUAUCUCUUCCUUACCUCGCAUAAUUGAUAAUAUAUUUCAUUGACGCUAACCAACAAAUUAGUAAUUAUGUGUCUUGGCCAUAGUGCCCAAACAAAUAGACCUUACAUAAAGAAUUAGAAGGAGUACUUUCUAGAAAAAACAGUACUCAAAUCAACACGCGGGGAUGUACUUUAUGAUCAACAAGAGAGCUACGGAAGUUUUAUGUCUCAUUUAACUCUCGUGAGAGCAAGGAAAUAAAAUGAAACUAAAGAAAAACUAGAUCAUUACAAGAUACAUACUUAAACGCGCAUGAAGUUUCACAAUAAAGUGCUGAUAAUAUUAUGGAUAUUGUAUACAAAUUAAGAAACAAAACAUAUAAUGAUUCAAGUUUGAAUACUUGUAAACCAAACAACCAUAUGAAAGAAUAGUAAAGACAAGAAUUACAAUUGUUAUAUAUCACUUUAAGCGCCAUAACGACCAAAUCACACAAAUUUUUUUGUGAAAUCUUCUACGUGCAGCAAUUCCCACUUGAGAAUAAAUACGAAAGUUAGAUUA